rnacentral:rRNA from 1 species
UAUUGGUCAAUGGUCGGGAGACUGAACCAGCCAAGCCGCGUGAAGGAUGAAGGUACAGAGUAUCGUAAACCUCUUUUGUCAGGGAACAAAGGCGGGGACGCGUCCCCGGAUGAGUGUACGUGAAGAUAAAGCAUCGGCUAACUGCGUGCCAGCAGCCGCGGUAAUACGGAGGAUGCGCGCGUUAUCCGGAUUUAUUGGGUUUAAAGGUUGCGCAGGCGUUCUGUUAAGUCAGGGGUCAAAGCCCGGGGCUCAACCCCGGCCCGCCGUUGAAACUGGCAGUCUCGAGUUGGAGAGAAGUAUGCGGAAUGCGCGGUGUAGCGGUGAAAUGCAUAGAUAUCGCGCAGAACUCCGAUUGCGAAGGCAGCAUGCCGGCUCCACACUGACGCUGAGGCACGAAAGCGUGGGUAUCG